rnacentral:rRNA from 1 species
UACGAAGGGGGAGCUAGCGUUGCUCGGAAUCACUGGGCGUAAAGGGUGCGUAGGCGGGUCUUUAAGUCAGGGGUGAAAUCCUGGAGCUCAACUCCAGAACUGCCUUUGAUACUGAAGAUCUUGAGUUCGGGAGAGGUGAGUGGAACUGCGAGUGUAGAGGUGAAAUUCGUAGAUAUUCGGAAGAACACCAGUGGCGAAGGCGGCUCACUGGCCCGGUACUGACGCUGAGGUGCGAAAGCGUGGGGAGCAAACAGG